rnacentral:lncRNA from 1 species
AUAAUUGACGUAACCAUAACCGAGCGACCGUUGGCUAGUCAAGUCCCUGCAAACCCGAACCGAAACAACUUGCCCCAGCUGAUUGAACAGAUCAUAAAGCUGCGAAUCGGUCACAUUGACAUCAAGGUCACCCACGUACAGUGACGUAACAAACUGGUUGUUCACACCACCAGCAUUAUUCACACCACCCUGUGGCUGCUGCUGCUGCACCUGAACCUGUGCCAUCUCAAUUCAACACAAAAAAACGAAAAACGAAAAUAAUAAAGAUAAUUUUCUUUUUCAAACUUUUUUCCGAUUUUUUUGUUUUUUUUUCUAACUUCCCUCUCCUCUUUUUAUUCGCAGAUACAAAAUCUCAUAUAAAUAAAAGGCCGAUAUCAAUCAAACUCGAUGAGAUUGAGAAUUUUGAGAUAGAAGAUACUGAAACCCUAGAAAAUUUUGAUUUUUUUCCAAUAGAUUUUCUUUUUAGCUUUUUUUCUUUUUUUUUUCUGGAUAGAUGAUAAAGAGAGGAGAGGGAAGGUGGAUAAGUCGGAGAUCCGACGGAAAACGAAGGGAUCGCCGCCGGCAAGGCCGGAAUAGGAAGAAAGAGGGAGGAGAAAAAGAUAUAGGGGCAGCUUUAAACUGCAAAAUUGCAGAAGAAGAAUAAAUUGGGAAGGUUUUUUUUGCCUUAAUAGAAGUAAAAAUUUGGGUUUUGGGAUUUUGUGUGUGUAAGCAAAGCCAAAGCCCUAAGAUGAUUUACGGAGCAAAAUAUACGCCGUUCGAUUAGGGAGGGAGAGGGUCCCACUUGACGUGGUCUGAUGUAAUCCCUACUGUUAGCUGGCAGUUGCGAUAAGAGGCCUUCUUAUUGGUUGGAUGAGCGACUCAUUCAACUUUCUGUCUCGUUUUUUUCUUUUUAGAAAGCUUCAAAUAAAAUUAAAUCUAUAAUACCUUGGUCACUAUAUUAAUUCAUUGAAAUUCCUUUUUAUAUUUAAGAACUAGUCAAUUCCUCUGUAUUAUGUGCACUUGUAUCAAUGAAUUUACAAAAUAAAUUUUCGUAAAUACAUUUGAUACAUAAGAUAUAGGGAGAUAAAAGGUCGCUAAAUUUAGAUAUUUAAAUAAUUUUUCAGAACAAAUACAUAACUAUAAUAUAUAUUUUAUCAUGCUCUUGUGAAUCCCAACAUAGUUUAUACUUUAUACAGAACCCUUCUAUUGAAAGAAGAUAAAUUCAGCUAGUAUUUGUACAUAUAUUUGGUGGAAAGUUGAAAAAAAAUUGAAGUAAUGUUGAAGAAUAAUUUUUGGAAGUUGAAGUUCUGUUUAGAUAUGUAUUUUAUUUGAAGUUUCGUAAGUGAAAGAAAAAAAUUCACUUAAAAAUUAUCUUAAACCAAUUUUCGAGAACUGAGGAAAAAAACUAAUUAUAUUCCAUAAUAUUUUCAAUGUUUUGUUAUAAAAUAAACAACCAAAAUUUAUGACCAAAUGGGUCUUUGGUAUGUAUUUAUAUCUAUGGAUGGAUGGAGAGAUCAUCGUCGUCUUGUGAAUUCCACUCGAAUUUACAUCAAAUUGCUCUAUUAAUCAUGAAAAACUCUUUCAGAAAAUAAAAUAUUAUUUUUGUUAAGAAGUCAAUAAAUCUCAAAACAUCAUAGUCAACUUUUAUUUCUAAUCCUCGAGCGCGAUAAAGCAUAUUAUAUGUUCUUAAUCUAUUAUGUUUGUGAAUAGUAGUAAAUAAAGUGCAUAGAGUCAAUAAUUAAUGAUAAAAUAUAAUUUCAUUAAGCAUGAUAAAGUUUUUUUUUUUAUGUAUAUCGAUUAUGCACUAUUGGGGGCAACCUUAGGGGUUGUUCAGUUGGGAAAUAUGUUAUUCUGGAAUUAUAAUAACAGAUAUAAUAACAGAGUUAUAAUAUAAGAGAGUUAAAUAGUUAUAGAAUUAUUCGAUGGAUAUAUUUUUAGUGGGAGAUUUUUGCUUCAUAAACUAAAUAUGAGAUAUACAGGUCGAGUAUAAAAUAAAAUGUGUUUGAUAUUACUAGAUGAAUUGGGAUAAACUUUUAUUUUAAUUUUAACCUUAGAUUUUUUUAAAGAACGUCGGGAAAAAGCUUUAAAAGGGUCUUUUUGUCAUUGUAGUGCUUUAUUCUGAGAUUAUUAUCUCACCCGAUAGAAUAAUAUCACAAUUAUGAUAUAAAUUAAUCUUCGGAUUGCUAAUCUCAAACUCAAAAAAUAAACCAAAUGCCAAAUAAAAUAAUUCUGCAUCUAAUCCAAUGAUUUUUGUUAUCCCUUAACGCACCAACCAAACAGCCUUUAGUGUUUUGACAAUAUUCGAGAAACGUCAUUUUAUAAGUUUAUGAAAAGCAACCACAUCUUAUCAAAUUAUUUAAGAAAGAUUAUCUCUUUCGAAGCAAAACACACACAAAAAAAAAAGAUUAAUAAAAUAGAUACAUAAAAAUACCUGGUUUUUAAAUGGAUUCUCAUCAAAAACAUCUUUAAUAAACCGUGAUAUGACAAAAUCAAAGAAAUCAUCUGCUGGUCGUCUUUUCGUUUUAGAAGAAGAAGCCCCUGCCAUCAUAAAGAGUUUGGUUUUUACUGUGAUCACCAAAAAGAAUCACGCAACCAAAUUCUUUAUUAAUAUCCUGAAAAUCAAAAUAAAAAAAAAUGAUCAAAACUGCAGCAAGCUUUCGGACACAAAUAAAUAAAGUCCUUCCAACAAGAUAGUAAUUGUUGUUGGAGUAAUAUAUUUUUGGCUUAAUAUAAAAAUUCAUUUGGCAUGCAGCACUAUUUUAUUCGGAUUGUAUUUCAUUUUGUUUCUUCUUAAUUAGAACUUAGAAUUAGGCCUGAAAAUUUAUUAUGGCAUGCCACAUCAAAUUUUCGAUGCAAGAUAUAUAAAUCUUAUUAGCUUAGCUUAUUUUAUUUUUGAUUUAAUCGAAAUUUAAUUGAGUGAUUUUAAGUGACAAAAUGGGUAGUUCCUUUAUUACUCACAGUACUUACCAAUGGAUUUCUAAGACGAUCCAUCACACUAUAAGUAUGGGCAAAUUACGGUAAUGAAAAAUUACAUCUCUUACUUCUUACUUCAACCAAAUCGAUAAUUUAUUUAUUUAUGCUUAACAAUACAAAUCGAUAUAUUUAUACAUAUUUUAUUGUAUCGUACGAGGACACAAUAAUAGUGUGUCUCGAUAAGUACUUCAAAAAUUAAAAACAAUACUUAUUUAAAUUAAAAUAUUUAUUUUGGAGAGCUAUGGUGAUUGGUCAAAUUCAAGGAUAAAUAAAUAACUUUAAAUCAUAGCGAUUUUUUUUUAUUGUGAUAAAAAAGUUGGAAAAUUCUCAUUAAAAGUAGAGUCACGCCCAAAAAUACUAUUACGAAGAAUUUAGAUCCUUCGAAACAUUUUCACAAUAUGAACAGAAAGUAACCUCAUUUAUUAUCGACAACACCUAUAUGACCAAAGUCGCAUAAGGCUGCUCCAUCUCCUUAUUACUAGUUGUGAGGAGCUUGUGCUGAGCCCGGGCCCAAGCUCACUUGGAGAGAAGGUAUUAUCUUAAUUCAUUUUAGUAAAAUCAUACGAUGGUGGAAAACUAUAAUGUUUAAUUACUUGCAGCUAAACAAAAAUCAGGUUCAGUGUAGCACUCAAAAUUGAUCAAAAUGAACAAGUUGUAUUAGUCAAAUCAAAGGAUUACUACUGCAAUUACUUCUAAACAUCAAAAGUUAACAAGAAAAAAUAAACAUUAAUAUCUAAUAAAAUCUACACUUUUGCCACCUAAUAACAAAACAUAACUAUGCAAAAGCUAGAAGAAAAAAGUUCACAGCAAUUCAUCUUCUUCUUGAUGACUACCUACUUUAUUUUCCUACCCACUUUGACCUUUCAAAUACCAAUACUUUCCUUAACUCUCUCUUCAUUAUAUACAUUUUUUCCUUCAAUAUCCACGGCCAAAAUAAUUACAGAAAAAAUGAAAAUGACCAUAUAAACAUACCGCCUUCUUCAAGAUUGCUAAUACUUGUUAAACUAAGAAUGUGACAAACACAAAAUCUUCAUCCAAUUUUAAUAUUUAAGAUUGAUUAAGAUCAAAAAGUGUCACGAUCCGAAUUUCUCACCAUCGGGAGUCGUGAUGGCGCCUACUAAUGUGAGCUAGGCAAGCCGACUGUUUGAACCAAUUACCUUUUUACCCCUUUUAUAUUCUUUAACAAUUAUAAAACAAUAACGUGUAGACAUCGAAAUUUACAAUAAGCGGAAGAAAAGUAAUGAACUAUCUGAAUAUGUAUCCAAUACAACUGCUUGAACAUCAACUACCCAGGACUGGUGUCACAGUUUCACAGACGGUCUAAGAAUACUACAUACAAAGUCUGAAAGAUAAAAGAUACAUUAUUUCUGAAAUAAGUAAAGGAAACAAGAUAAAGGAAAGAUAGGAGGUGACACCAAGGCCCGCGGACGUCUGCAGGACUACCUCGGGUUGCCUGUGUGGACUGAAGACAGCACCCUCACUGCGGUCCAAGCGCUCCGGUAUCAGUAUCUGCAUACAGUGUAGAGUGUAGUAUCAGCACAACCGACCUCAUGUGCUGGUAAGUGCCUAGCCUAACCUCGACGAAGUAGUGACUAGGCUAGGACCCGACUACCAAAUAAACUUAUGCAGUUAAAUCAUAUACAACGGAAAAAUAACAGCAGAUAAUUACAAUUAAAAAUGGGAGGGGGAAAACAUGUUUCGGGGAAUAAAAGAUAACAACAGAAUAUCAAGAGGAAUAUAAAGAAACCAAAAUCCAAUUACUAACAAGGAUAAGGAAAACAAAUGCAGAAUUUACUUUCAUUUCACAUCUUGUUACAGGCGUGCAACCCGAUCCCAUUUCAUAUAUCUCGUUGCAGGCGUGCAACCCGAUCCCAUUUCAUAUAUCUCGUUGCAGGCGUGCAACCUGCUCCCAUUUCAUAUAACUCGUUGCAGGCGUGCAGCCCGCUCCCAUUUCAUAUAUCUCGUUGCAGGCGUGCAACCGGCUCUAACAACAUUCCGGUAAGGGAACAAGAGCAAUAUAACAAUAUCACGGCAAGGGAACAAUAAUAUCAAAACNNNNNNNNNNNNNNNNNNNNNNNNNGCAGGCGUGCAACCUGCUCCCAUUUCAUAUAACUCGUUGCAGGCGUGCAGCCCGCUCCCAUUUCAUAUAUCUCGUUGCAGGCGUGCAACCGGCUCUCUUUUUAUAUAUUUUCAUGGCGGCGUGCCCCUCGAUCCCAGUUACAAAUCAACAACAAUCACAAAAGAAUCCCAGCAAGGGAUCAAGAGCAAUAUAACAACAUUCCGGUAAGGGAACAAGAGCAAUAUAACAAUAUCACGGCAAGGGAACAAUAAUAUCAAAACAAACAUCCUGGCAACGGAACAAUAAUAUGACAAUAACAUCCCGACAAGGGAACAAUAAUGAUAAUAAAUGUGAAGUGCAAUAAACCACAACGGAAUCAUAACAAUUACAAUACAAGGCUCACAGACAUGCUUGACACCGACGUAUAGAUACUCGUCACCAUGCCUAUACGACGUACUCCAUAAUUAACACGUAGCAAAUAGGACUCGAAUCCUAAUCUCUCAAGCUAAGGUUAGACCAAACACUUACCUCGAUGUCACAGACACAAUUCAAGCCUCAACUAUCGCUUUACCCCUUGAUUCCACCACCAAUUCGCUCGUAUCUAGCCACAGGUUACUUAAUUAUAUCAAUAAAUGCUAAAUGAACCAAUUCUAAUGCAUGAAAAUAAGUUUUCUAAAGUUUUACCCAAAAAGUCAAAAAUGGUCCCCGGGCCCAUAUGGUCAAAACCCGAGGUUCGAACCAAAANNNNNNNNNNNNNNNNNNNNNNNNNUAUAUAAUUUAUUUUGAAAUCGGACCUCAAGUCGAGGUCCAAAUUUCCAAUUUUUAAAAAACCUAGGUUCUACUCAAAACACUCAAUUUCCCCCAUGAAAAUUAUUAAUUUUGAGUUGAAAUCAUAUGAAAAGAUGUUAAAGAUUGAAGAAAUAUAGUUAGAAAUCACUUACAAUCGAUUUGGAGAAGAAGUUGCCUUUGAAAAAUUGCCCUAGGGAGUUUAUGUUUUGAGAAGAUAUGAAAAAAGGUUGAAAAUGCGUCUAAGUAUGAAUUUACAGGUCUCUGAUGUCGCAAUUGCGACCAGGGUACCCUUCAGAAAAUUGGGACUUUCGCAUUUGCGACCCACUCAGUUUUCUGGUCAUCAUCGCAUUUGCUAGAGACCAUUCGCAAAUGCGAAAUCACAUUUGCGAGAAAACAAUCGCAUUUGCGACUCAGGCUGCUAGGUCCAUUCUUCGCAUAUGCGAAGGUUUGUCGCAUUUGCGAGCUCGCCUUUGUGAAGCCUGCAGACAUAAUCAUACCAGCUAAAACCUGCAAUUUUCCCAAGUCCAAUUCUACUUCGUGACCUAUCCAAAACUCACCUGAGCCCUCAGGGCUCCAGACCAAACAUGCACACCAACCUAAAAACAUCAUACGGACUCGCUCGUGCAUUCAAACCACCAAAAUAACAUCAAAAAAAUAUGAAUUUAGCAUCAAAAUCAUGAAAUUUCUUAAAACUUCAAAUUUUCCAACUUUCUCAAAUACGGUCUGAUUCACGUCGUUUCAAGUUCGUUUCUUACCAAAUUUCAUAGACUCAUCUUAAAUCACAUAUAAGACAUGUGUCGGGCUCCGAAACCAAAAUACGGGCCCGAUACCAAUGGUUUCAAACAUAAAUUGUCUUCUUUACUUCAUAAUUAAUUCAGCAAAAUAAUUUCUUUCAAAAAUUCAUUUCUCGGGCUUGGGACCUCGGAAUUCGAUUCCGGCCAUACGCCCAAGUUCCAUAUUUUCCUACGGAUCCUCUGGGACUGUCAAAUCAUGGGUACGGGUUCGUUUACCGAAAAUGUUGACCGAAGUCAACUCAAACUCAUUUUAAAGGCAAAAUUCAUCAUUUUCAGAGAUUUUUACAAAAUGAAUUUCCAACUACGCGUCCGGACUGCGCACGCAAAUUGAGGUGAAACAGAAAGAGAUUUUUAAGGCCUCGAAAAGCAUAAUUUAUUUUUAAAACAAGUGAUGACCCAGGUCAUCACAAAAUUUUUUAUUAGUUAGAUCAAAUGAUUAUUACUGCAACUAUCACAAAUGUUGAAUUCACUCUUUGGUCCCUUCUCUUCGCCUCCCUCCCCCUUCCCCCUUACUCCGAAGAACGAAAAAAAGUUGGAUUCAUUACCAAUAAUUGAUUGGAUCUCUAUUCAUUCCUCCUCAUGACAAUAACAAAUACAAACAUCAAUAUUUGUGGUAUAUCUACAUAAUCUCUUUGCUACUUUGAUGGAUUAAAAUUUUCUGCACAACAUCACCUUCGAAUGUGACUAAGUAGGAUCCCUGCUAGAAAUACUAAUUGUUAUAACAUCAACAACAUAAUAUAAGGUGCUUAUGUAAAAUAUUGAACCUGAUGCAAGAUACUCACAAUCUCUAGAGCACUGAGUUCGUGAAGAACUAUUUAUUUUACACUUUUUACCGUUUUAUUUUUGCUUACAAGAGGUUUAUGCAAUCUUUUUUAUCACGCAUAUAUUUUGCUUUUUCACUCGCUAAAAAGGAAAAGAAAAUUAACUCCGAGAACAACCGAAUAGAAGAAAAGAUAAGACUAAUAAUGAGUGAAGUCAAUUAUUGUAUAUCAUUUCUACCACAUAGAUUUGAAAUUGAUUAUCAUUCCUUUUGUUUCUUCAUCAUGAAAUCAAUGUUGCUUGCUCUUCUUGCAUUUUGUAUCUUGUUGGAAGGACUUCAUUUAUUUGUGUCUGAAAGCUUGCUGCAGUUUUGAUCAUUUUUCUUGUUUUGAUUUUCAGGAUAUUAAUAAAGAAUUUGGUUGUGUGAUUCUUUUUGGUGAUCACAGUAAAAAUCGAACUCUUUAUGAUGGUAGGGGCUUCUUCUUCUAAAACGAAAAGACGGCCAGAAAUGAUUUCUUUGAUUUGUCAUAUCACGGUUUAUUAAAGAUGUUUUUGAUGAGAAUCCAUUUAAAAACCAGGUAUUUUCAUCUAUCUACUUUAUUAAUCAUUUCUUUUUUGUGUGUUUUGCUUCCAAAGAGUUUAUCUUUCUUAAAUAAUUUGAUAAGAUGUGGUUGCUUUUCAAAAACUUAUAAAAUGACAUUUCUCAAAUGUUGCCAAAACACUAAAAGGCUAUUUGGUUGGUGCGUUAAGGGAUAACAAAAAUCCUUGGAUUAGAUGCGGAAUUAUUUUAUCUCGCGUUUGGUUGAAUUUUUGAGUUUGAGAUUAGCAAUCUCCAAAUUAAUUUAUAUCAUAGUUGUGAUAUUAUUCUAUCGGGGGAGAUAAUAAUCACGGGAUAAAGCACUACAAUGACAAAAAGGCCCUUUUAAGGCUUUUCCCCGGCGUUCUUUAAAAAAUCUAAGGUUAAAAUUAAAAUAAAAGUUUAUCCCAAUUUAUCUAGUAUAUAUCAAACACAUUUUAUUUUAUACCCGACAUGUAUAUCUCAUAUUUAGUCUAUAAACCAAAAAUCUCCCACUAAAAAUAUAUCCACCGAAUAAUUCUACAACUAUUUAACUCUCUUAUAUUAUAACUCUGUUAUUAUAUCUGUUAUUAUAAUUCCAGAAUAACAUAUUCCCUUGUUUUCCAUCGGAUCUCCGAUUUAUCCACCUUCCCUCUCCUCUCUUUAUCAUCUAUCUAGAAAAAAAAAAGGAAAAAGCUAAAAAGAAAAUCUAUUAGAAAAAAAAUCAAAAUUUUCUAGGGUUUCAGUAUCUUCUAUCUCAAAAUUCUCAAUCUCAUCGAGUCUGAUUGAUAUCGGCCUUUUAUUUAUAUGAGAUUUUGUAUCUGCUAAUAAAAAGAGGAGAGGGAAGUUAGAAAAAAAAAAUUGGAAAAAAGUUUGAAAAAGAAAAUUAUCUUUAUUAUUUUUUUUGUUUAUUUUUUGUGUUGAAUUGAGAUGGCACAGGUUCAGGUGCAGCAGCAGCAGCCACAGGGUGGUGUGAAUAAUGCUGGUGGUGUGAACAACC